AACUAGAUAGGAAAUUUUUGAAUUAGGUAAUUUUGUUCGAAUCGGGCUUGUAAUUGAAACUUUUAUCCUCAUUCUUAGAUUUAUUUAUUUAAUUUUAUUUUAAUUUUUUUUAAAAAGGAGUUUCUCAUAAAGUGGAAAUAAUGAAUUGAUUUUUUUAAAGGAUGGGUAUUUCACAAAGGCACCAAAAUAAAAUUAUACAAUCCAUUGUACCUACUCAAAGUAUGCAAGUCGUCAAAGAGUGCACCAAUCACCAUUAAACCAUAUUUUGGUAG
rnacentral:lncRNA from 1 species